rnacentral:misc_RNA from 1 species
GAAAUGCGAUAAGUAAUGUGAAUUGCAGAAUUCAGUGAAUCAUCGAAUCUUUGAACGCACAUUGCGCCCGCCAGUAUUCUGGCGGGCAUGCCUGUUCGAGCGUCAUUUCAACCAUCAAGCCCCCGGCUUGUGUUGGGGACCUGCGGCUGCCCGCAGGCCCUGAAAAACAGUGGCGGGCUCGCUGUCACACCGAGCGCAGUAGCAUACAUUCUCGCUCAGGGCGUGCUGCGGGUCCCGGCCGUUAAACGACCUUCAUAACCCAAGGUUGACCUCGGAUCAGGUAGGAAGACCCGCUGAACUUAAGC